UACGUAGGGAGCAAGCGUUGUCCGGAAUCAUUGGGCGUAAAGCGCGCGUAGGCGGCCCGAUAAGUCCGCUGUAAAAGUCAACGGCUCAACUGUUGAAAGCCGGUGGAUACUGUCGGGCUAGAGUACGGAAGAGGCAAGUGGAAUUCCUGGUGUAGCGGUGGAAUGACGCAGAUAUCAGGAGGAACACCUAUAGCGAAGGCAGCUUGCUGGGACGUUACUGACGCUAAGGCGCGAAAGCGUGGGGAGCGAACAGG
rnacentral:rRNA from 1 species